GAUCAGCCACACUGGAACUGAGACACGGUCCAGACUCCUACGGGAGGCAGCAGUGGGGAAUAUUGCACAAUGGGCGCAAGCCUGAUGCAGCCAUGCCGCGUGUGUGAAGAAGGCCUUCGGGUUGUAAAGCACUUUCAGUCGUGAGGAAGGUGGUGUAGUUAAUAGCUGCAUUAUUUGACGUUAGCGACAGAAGAAGCACCGGCUAACUCCGUGCCAGCAGCCGCGGUAAUACGGAGGGUGCGAGCGUUAAUCGGAAUUACUGGGCGUAAAGCGCAUGCAGGUGGUUUGUUAAGUCAGAUGUGAAAGCCCGGGGCUCAACCUCGGAAUAGCAUUUGAAACUGGCAGACUAGAGUACUGUAGAGGGGGGUAGAAUUUCAGGUGUAGCGGUGAAAUGCGUAGAGAUCUGAAGGAAUACCGGUGGCGAAGGCGGCCCCCUGGACAGAUACUGACACUCAGAUGCGAAAGCGUGGGGAGCAAACA
rnacentral:rRNA from 1 species